rnacentral:rRNA from 1 species
AUUGAACGCUGGCGGCAUGCUUUACACAUGCAAGUCGAACGGCAGCGGGGACUUCGGUCCGCCGGCGAGUGGCGAACGGGUGAGUAAUGCAUCGGAACGUGCCUAUCAGUGGGGGAUAACGCUUCGAAAGGAGUGCUAAUACCGCAUAUUCUCCGAGGAGGAAAGCAGGGGACCUUAGGGCCUUGCGCUGAUAGAGCGGCCGAUGUCGGAUUAGCUAGUUGGUGAGGUAAAGGCUCACCAAGGCGACGAUCCGUAGCGGGUCUGAGAGGAUGAUCCGCCACACUGGGACUGAGACACGGCCCAGACUCCUACGGGAGGCAGCAGUGGGGAAUUUUGGACAAUGGGCGAAAGCCUGAUCCAGCCAUGCCGCGUGAGUGAAGAAGGCCUUCGGGUUGUAAAGCUCUUUUGUCCGGGAGGAAAUCCUGGCCUCUAAUACAGGUCGGGGAUGACAGUACUGGAAGAAUAAGCACCGGCUAACUACGUGCCAGCCGCCGCCGUAACAC